ACUAGCAGUAAGAGUUUGAUCCUGGCUCAGAAUCAACGCUGGCGGCGCGCUUAACACAUGCAAGUCGAACGAGAAAGGGGAGCAAUCCCUGAGUAAAGUGGCGCACGGGUGAGUAACACGUGGGUAAUCUGCCUCUGGGUGGGGAAUAACUCUGGGAAACCGGAGCUAAUACCGCAUAAGCCCGCAAGGGGAAAGGCGAAAGUCGCCGAGAGAGGAGCCCGCGGUCGAUUAGCUGGUUGGUGGGGUAAAGGCCUACCAAGGCGAUGAUCGGUCGCUGGUCUGAGAGGACGAUCAGCCACACGGGGACUGAGACACGGCCCCGACUCCUACGGGAGGCAGCAGCAAGGAAUUUUCCACAAUGGGCGCAAGCCUGAUGGAGCAACGCCGCGUGCGGGAUGACGCCCUUCGGGGUGUAAACCGCUUUUCGAGGGGACGAAGGCAAUGACGGUACCCUCGGAAUAAGGAUCGGCUAACUACGUGCCAGCCGCCGCGGUAAUUC
rnacentral:rRNA from 1 species